rnacentral:rRNA from 1 species
AUUGAACGCUGGCGGCAUGCCUUACACAUGCAAGUCGAACGGUAACGGGCCUUCGGGUGCCGACGAGUGGCGAACGGGUGAGUAAUGUAUCGGAACGUACCUUUCAGUGGGGGAUAACGUAGCGAAAGUUACGCUAAUACCGCAUAUUCUGUGCGCCGGAAAGCAGGGGAUCGCAAGACCUUGCGCUGAUUGAGCGGCCGAUAGCAGAUUAGCUAGUUGGGGAGGUAAAGGCUCACCAAGGCGACGAUCUGUAGCGGGGCUGAGAGGAUGAUCCGCCACACUGGAACUGAGACACGGUCCAGACUCCUACGGGAGGCAGCAGUGGGGAAUUUUGGACAAUGGGGGCAACCCUGAUCCAGUCAUGCCGCGUGAGUGAAGAAGGCCUUCGGGUUGUAAAGCUCUUUCGGCCGGGAAGAAAUCGUAUCAGCUAAUACCUGGUGCGGAUGACGGUACCGGCAUAAGAAGCACCGGCUAACUACGUGCCAGCCGCCGCCGUAAGAC